AGUGAACGCUGGCGGUAGGCCUAACACAUGCAAGUCGAACGGCAGCACAGUAAGAGCUUGCUCUUACGGGUGGCGAGUGGCGGACGGGUGAGGAAUACAUCGGAAUCUACUUUUUCGUGGGGGAUAACGUAGGGAAACUUACGCUAAUAACGCAUACGACCUACGGGUGAAAGCAGGGGAUCUUCGGACCUUGCGCGAUUGAAUGAGCCGAUGUCGGAUUAGCUAGUUGGCGGGGUAAAGGCCCACCAAGGCGACGAUCCGUAGCUGGUCUGAGAGGAUGAACAGCCACACUGGAACUGAGACACGGUCCAGACUCCUACGGGAGGCAGCAGUGGGGAAUAUUGGACAAUGGGCGCAAGCCUGAUCCAGCCAUACCGCGUGGGUGAAGAAGGCCUUCGGGUUGUAAAGCCCUUUUGUUGGGAAAGAAAAGCAGCAGGUUAAUACCCCGCUGUUCUGACGGUACCCAAAGAAUAAGCACCGGCUAACUUCGUG
rnacentral:rRNA from 1 species